rnacentral:lncRNA from 1 species
CUAAAAAUGGAUGAUCAGAUCCUUCAAUUUAAGAUCGGAGUUAUUGAUCUUUAUCUAGGUAGUGAAUAAAAUUUUCUAUCAAAAAUUCAACCUAUUCCGAUUUUUUUACACCAUUAAACUAGCAAGUAUCCCAUACUGGCCGUUAAAAAUUUUUAAUUUUGUGAGCUUUUGAUCGUAAGGUAAAUGAUAUCGAAAAAUUAUAAAAUUUGAUUUCUAGAAGUUUUAAAUGCUUUAGAUAAUGUUUAACGGUAUGGAUCGUCGAUUCGGAAGCUCUAUCAUCGAAAACAACAUAUGAGUACGAAUAUAAUCGUACUCAUAAAAGUAUAGUAGC